GAUCAAAGAUUUUUUCCCACGGUGCCACUUUUAGUUGACUGAUUUUAUAUAUACCGCCUUGCAUUUCAAGCCUUUGGAAUAACUGACCUAAGUCGAGAACUCCGUUAAAAAAUAAAUCGCUAACACAUAUCUUGCAAUAAUUUGUUUUCCAUGUUUGAAGAAACAGGUGAUUUACGUACUUUGUCAUCAUUGAUGACUCCGUAAACAUUUGGCUUUGAAGCUUUUUCUAUAGAUUGCCUUGACAACUCUGUUUCUUUUUCUCCUGCGCAGGAUUGCUGUCUACUUUGAUAUCUUGUAGUGACUUUAUUUAUAUUUUUGUUAAUGACUUUUAGCUCUUCGAUGGUUAUUCUCGAUAACGCAUCUUCUACGUAAUUGUCUUUACCCUUUAGAUACUCUACAGUGAAGUUGUACUCUUCUAUUUCAAGUCUUAUUCGCGUGAAUUUGGAACUCGGAUUUAUCAUGGAAAAUAGGCACAUAAGUGGUCUGUGAUCUGUUUUGAUAGUAAAGUGUCUACCAUAAAUAUAUGGUCUGAAGAGUGUUAUUGCCCAAUGAAUUGCCACAACUUGGGAUCUCGCUGGCAGAAUUAUGGAGUUAUUCCCAGAACAGGAUAUUAUUGGAACAUAAAUUGGAAAUUUUAAGUUGAUUGGUCUAAUUAUAAAAUUUAUUUUUUAAUUAAAUCGAUUCCUAAUAUUUUAUCACAGGGAAUAGCGAAUCGUAAAUUUACAAAAUGAAAAUUAUGUGGGAUUAUAUAUUUAGUAGUCUGUAUCUCAAUUUCGGACCGAGUGUCAGGAAAAAUAUCUGCAUUUUCUUUGAGGAUUGAUAUGUUUGCACCAGUGUCUAUUAAAAAUAAAAGUUGCUUUCCUGUUGCUACAUUUUUAAAA